AAGUGGAAAGCUAAAUAACCAUUUAGAAGCUGCUAUACACGAGGCCAUGAGUGAACUAGACAAAAUGUCUGGGAAUGUCCACCAAAUCCCACAGGGAGACAGACAAGUGAAGCCUCCAAAACCCAAGAGGAGGAAGAUCUCUAGAUAACAUUGAAUGUCUUUGUUACUGGUCCAGUACUUAUCAAAAUGAACGUGCACAUAAGUCUAUAUGUAGGUAUUGGUAUAGGCGUGGUUAUAUCAAUAUUUAUAUGAAGACAGAUAGAUACCAUCACAGGGUGCUAUGCGGAUUAGUGGUACAAUAUUUUUGAUGAUUAGGAGGGAUAGCGGUUGCUGGAUAAGCCAAUCAGAAAUCUUGAAAGGUUGCAGUAACAAUGUCAGAUGAUUACUGAAAUUUUUUUCUAUAAUACUAAAAUUGUGAUUAUAAGAAAUAGUCCAAAUGUUUCUGAGAAAUUUUCAUUGUGUAUAUAGAUAAUACAGAAUUUCAUGGUGAUAUCUGAAAUGUAAAUAUUGUACAAUAUUGUCAUGUACAAGCGUACCUAAUGCACACUUUAUCUUUUAUUGUACAAAAAAUAGUGUACAAAAUUCUUUGGUUUCUAUUGAGUACACAUACAAGAGACUACCAGUGUAAAGUGAUAAAUAAAAAUACAGCCUAAAUGCUUUUA